rnacentral:rRNA from 1 species
GGCGAUGCUUCAUUCAAAUAUCUGCCCUAUCCAACUUUCGAUGGUAGGAUAAAAGGCUACCAUGGUUUCAACGGGUAACGGGGAAUAAGGGUUCGAUUCCGGAGAGGGAGCCUGAGAAACGGUACACAUCCAAGGAAGGCAGCAGGCGCGCAAAUUACCCAAUCCCGACACGGGGAGGUAGUGACAAUAAAUAACAAUAUAGGGCCUUUUGG